ensembl:lncRNA
CUCUUAUGUUUUAUAACAUUUUCAUGUCAUUUAUACUUAGUGCUAAAUUAAUUCUCAAGUGCAGAAGUAGAUAUGUAAGUGGUUUUCUGAUUCUGAUAUAUAUUUUCGUGUUAAAAAUUAUGCUGCUCAAUUAGCAUUAGAGGCCUUAUGUUUGGUAAUUAUAAGUGUCUGGGCUACAUGAGUCUCUAUAUGUGCUCGCUUUGUUCCAGUUUCUUCAAAUCCUCUAUGUAUUACCUGUAUCAAAUAUUUAAAAAGUAAAGGGGUCAAAGAAGAUUGUUAAAUAUUCAACAAGAAUCCUAAAUAUCUUUAUAUAUAUAUAUAUAUAUAUUUUAAAUGUAUUGGGCUGUUUUGAACAUGAUUUUGCUGGUCUGUCUGCCUUUUAGCCUGACUCCUUCACUCUAGUGUAUGGAAGUCUGUCAGAAACUUUUUCAAGUAAUAUUGUUCUUUGCAAAAAAAAGCUUCCACUCUGAGAAACAGGGCCUUAUAGAGCAGGAAUGUUUUCAUACUAGGACUACUAAGAUUUGCAGAUGUGUGCAUCUGUUCCAUUUAAGGUAUCCUUAAACAUGUUGAAUGUAAUGUGUUGAAUGUUUAUGUGUAAUGCUAAAGUAUCCAUAUGUAUGUGCAUAAGAGUGUCACAAGAUGUAUUCUCAGGAAUACUGUUACCUGGAGUUUGAAGGAAUAACUAUUUUUAAAAAUCAACAGUUGGGCACGAUAAGGAAAAAGUUCAAGGUAAUUCACAAUCUUUUGUUAAGUUCAAAAUAUUAUUGAGUACAUGACAAAAAACUAUUAAUAUGAAAAAUACAGUAGUGAUAAUUGAUCAUUUCUUAAGCCAUGAUGAUUAAUGAUAUUUAUCUUCUUCAGAGAAAAAAUUAAACAAGCACCCACUCCCAUGUAUAAAAAAAAAUGGACUCAACAAAGAGGUUGCUUUUUCUGAAAUUAACUUUUGAGAGACAUUAGCAUAAACAUGCAUCAUCCAUGAUAGUGGGUGCAGAUUUAUACUACUCAGAUUCAAACCAGUUCAAAUCCCAGAUACAGAAUUUUCUAUAGCAAAUAUUUUGCUUUCAUUUUUCAGUAUUUGCUGCUUUCUAUAAUUCUAUUAGAUGAGUUAUUUGAUUCUUCUGAAAAGGAAAUAAGUUAUUGAGCACUUUGGAACAAGGCACUAAGAACUAUAGUGUCAAAAGACAUCAAUGGGCACAUGGCAAUGCUGAGGGAAAAUGUGUGGUACUGGUGAUCUCAUUAGGCCUAUUACAGAGGCCAGGAGUAUCUGGUUUGCUACUUCAGGCUUCGAGUACCUGAGACAAGAAGACAUCUCCUCUCUUCUUUAGCAUCUGUUCCUUUGAUUGGCAAAGAACUUUGUCCACUCUGUUUCCCAGCUCUGAGAGUUUCUGAGAUAAGAAGAGGGUUUAUAGAGAGAUUAUAGGGGAAAAAGGUGUCAUAAAUGGAAUAGAAUUAUAGUCUAAAACAUGAAUCAAGAUAUACAGAUAUUUUAAUAGAGCACAGUCUCCAGAAUUUGCUGCUAUUAUAUUGAGUCAUACUGUUUCCCUGUGACCUCAUAUUUCCCAGUUGCACAGCCUUGUGUCUUAGCAGUGAGUCGAAUGUCCCACUUCCUCAUUUACUUUAGUGGGCCUCAACUGCAGCAUUUCAGAAGCAAACAUUGAUUUGACACUCAGGAGAAUAAAACAAGUUGAGAACCGAAUGUAUUUGGAAAAGCUUCAGAUAAAUUUACUUGUAUUAUUUUAGGAUCAUUUAGGAUUACAGAUCUAUGUACCUCCAUGAUAUUUUUUAAUAGUCACUGUGACCACAGGAUGCAAGUACUUUGUUAGCCAUUUUAUAGGUAAAAAUGAAGGAUUGACUACACAGCCAACUUCCCUCAAAUGACUAUGAAAUCUUAUGAAUACUGAAUGACCAAAGAGCAUGGAAAAAAUGCAUAAGAAUAAAUACUGAAAUGUUUAUGAAAGAUAUUUAUGAAAGAUAUGAAGUAUUCUGUGUUUG